CGUCACGAUUAUCUAGCAUACUUCAAUUCCAGCAUUUCUAAUGCAAAGGUAUUGGGACAGACGAGGUGAUCAUUGUACAGUUAUUGUUUAGGGCUGUUGAUGAGGCGAAGAAAGCGUACUCUGGUCAGAAUAUAACAAACGUGAUGUCAGAGAAACUUCUUGAUAUAGCAAGAACAGUUGGGUAACCACGGAAACUGAAGAUACAAACAAUGUGUAUUUGUGAGAAGGGCUAAAGGGAUGAACAGCACCGGCCACAAAAGUUACAGGAGAUAUAAUUUGAUCAGCAUUGUACAUGGACUG